UGCAAGUCGAACGGCAGCACAGCAGAGCUUGCUCUGUGGGUGGCGAGUGGCGGACGGGUGAGGAAUACAUGGGAAUCUGCCCAGUCGUGGGGGAUAACGUAGGGAAACUUACGCUAAUACCGCAUGCGCCCUUCGGGGGAAAGCCGGGGACCUUCGGGCCUGGCGCGAUUGGAUGAGCCCAUGUCGGAUUAGCUAGUUGGCGGGGUAAAGGCCCACCAAGGCGACGAUCCGUAGCUGGUCUGAGAGGAUGAUCAGCCACACUGGAACUGAGACACGGUCCAGACUCCUACGGGAGGCAGCAGUAGGGAAUAUUGGACAAUGGGCGCAAGCCUGAUCCAGCCAUGCCGCGUGAGUGAAGAAGGCCCUCGGGUUGUAAAGCUCUUUUGUCCGGAAAGAAAAGCGUUGGGUUAAUACCCCUGAUGUCCUGACGGUACCGGAAGAAUAAGCACCGGCUAACUUCGUGCC
rnacentral:rRNA from 1 species